rnacentral:rRNA from 1 species
GACACAGGGAGGUAGUGACAAGAAAUAACAAUACGGGGCUCAACGCCUUGUAAUUGGAAUGAUGGGAACCUAAACCCCUUCCAGAGUAUCAAUUGGAGGGCAAGUCUGGUGCCAGCAGCCGCGGUAAUUCCAGCUCCAAUAGCGUAUAUUAAAAUUGUUGCAGUUAAAAAGCUCGUAGUUGAAUUUCUGCCGCAUCGCGGCGGCCCUCCCGGGCCCAGCGUUGCGGCUUAUUUCGGACUCGCUUGCGUCUCCGAAUGU